rnacentral:misc_RNA from 1 species
AACAAUUUGAUUCUCAAUAAUACAAAAAUUUAUUGUUCUGUUCAGAGUAGUGUACUAGUAUGACAUGCAAAUAUAAACUCUGGAUCUAUUAGACAAAUCACUACAGUUUGUAGAUGUUUUUUCAUCAUCAUUGUCUAGCUAAUGAAAAAUUUAGAUAAAACUAGAGAUAGCAAAUGAGUCAAGUUGGGUGGGUUCUAGUAACCUCGGG